AUGAAAUCAUUCACUAGAUAUCCACCAAGUAUAUGCUUAAUAAUUUAUUCUAGAACAUUUCUAAGAAUUGAAGUCAAGUUCACUGAUCUCUACUUUACAGACAUUACUAUUGUCUCCUAUUUUUUUAUUUUAGGAAUCAGGAUAUGUGCCCUUCUUCAGCUCCAAGGACUUCUGGGUAAUCAUGGCUGCAAUCUAGACGCCACACACUUCCUCUCCCCGGCACCGAACGAAAUAGACUACAUCAAAGGAGCAUAAAAAUCACCUUUGGAGGAACAGAAGGACACCCCAGUACUCCCAGUACUCCACAGAGGCGAAAGUACGUGGGGCUUGAACAUUUCCACACUAUAAUAAGGAGAAAAAGCUUGCACGGAAAAGUGAACUGAGCCGCCCUUCUCCCACCUCACCUCCCCCACCAAACCAGAGUGAGCUACCUGAGCGCUCACCGGGACAGCGAGUGAGUGGGGAACAUCUCUGUCUGGGGGGGGCACUCCAGGGUCCUUGGGAUCUGGGGACUGCCAGGAAAAAACGUCUCAGGGCGGUUUCACUGGAGAAUCCGGCGCUGAUUACGGGGGUCAGUGGAGCUGUACUUGGGGCGGCUGCGCUGAACAUCUCCUUGGAGCUAAACACCAGGGGUGGACCAUGCGCUGAUUAUCUGGGCGGAGCUGAACACCUGGGCAGUGUGGCUGUGAUCAGGGACUCAGCGCUCUAAGAAACCUUGGAGGCUGGGAAGAACUAGUCUGAAGCAACCUAAAUUCACAGAAAAACCGCCCAUAUAACCCAGACCCCAGACCAAAAAGGAAAGGGGAAUAAAACCACCAAAGGGAUGGCUCA
rnacentral:lncRNA from 1 species